GAAGGGGAACGGCCCGCUUAUUUAUACCUGAAGGGAACCGUUUUGGUUUUCAAAUUAUAAGAAGGCUUUCUCUAAAUAUGCGGGGUGCCUUUUCAAAAUUGUUGGGGAGCGGGGUGUAAAAACGGUGGGAAACCCCUUUCUUUGACGGGGGGAUAACUUUGGAAAACGGGGUUUAUACCCGUUAAAACAAUGACAACCCGCAAGGUUUUUAAUUAAAAGAUGGUUUUGCUAUCACUAAGAGAUGGUCCCGCGGCCAUAGGCUAGUUGGUAAGGUAAUGGCUUACCAAGGCGAUGAUGCAUAGCCGAGUUGGAGGACUGAUCGGCCACAAUGGGAUUGAGACACGGCCCAUACUCCUACGGGAGGCAGCAGUAGGGAAUUUUUCCACAAUGGGCGAAAGCCUGAUGGAGCAACGCCGGGUGGUUGAUGAAGGGUUUCGGCUUGUAAAACAUUGUUGUAAGAGAAGAAUGACAUUGAGAGUAACUGUUCAAUGGUGGACGGUAUCUUACCAGAAAGGAACGGCUAAAUACGUGCCAGCAGCCGCGGUAAUACGUAUGUUCCAAGCGUUAUCCGGAUUUAUUGGGCGUAAAGCGAGCGCAGACGGUUAUUUAAGUCUGAAGUGAAAGCCCUCAGCUCAACUGAGGAAUUGCUUUGGAAACUGGAUGACUUGAGUGCAGUAGAGGAAAGUGGAACUCCAUGUGUAGCGGUGAAAUGCGUAGAUAUAUGGAAGAACACCAGUGGCGAAGGCGGCUUUCUGGACUGUAACUGACGUUGAGGCUCGAAAGUGUGGGUAGCAAACAGGAUUAGAUACCCUGGUAGUCCACACCGUAAACGAUGAGUGCUAGGUGUUUGAGGGUUUCCGCCCUUAAGUGCCGCAGCUAACGCAUUAAGCACUCCGCCUGGGGAGUACGACCGCAAGGUUGAAACUCAAAGGAAUUGACGGGGACCCGCACAAGCGGUGGAGCAUGUGGUUUAAUUCGAAGCAACGCGAAGAACCUUACCAGGUCUUGACAUCCCUUGACAACUCCAGAGAUGGAGCGUUCCCUUCGGGGACAAGGUGACAGGUGGUGCAUGGUUGUCGUCAGCUCGUGUCGUGAGAUGUUGGGUUAAGUCCCGCAACGAGCGCAACCCUUAUUACUAGUUGCCAGCAUUCAGUUGGGCACUCUAGUGAGACUGCCGGUGACAAACCGGAGGAAGGUGGGGAUGACGUCAAAUCAUCAUGCCCCUUAUGACCUGGGCUACACACGUGCUACAAUGGCGUAUACAACGAGUUGCCAACCCGCGAGGGUGAGCUAAUCUCUUAAAGUACGUCUCAGUUCGGAUUGUAGGCUGCAACUCGCCUACAUGAAGUCGGAAUCGCUAGUAAUCGCGGAUCAGCACGCCGCGGUGAAUACGUUCCCGGGUCUUGUACACACCGCCCGUCACACCAUGAGAGUUUGUAACACCCAAAGCCGGUGGGGUAACCUUCGGGAGCCAGCCGUCUAAGGUGGGACAGAUGAUUAGGGUGAAGUCGUAACAAGAGCCAUGC
rnacentral:rRNA from 1 species